rnacentral:rRNA from 1 species
AUGAACGCUAGCUACAGGCUUAACACAUGCAAGUCGAGGGGCAGCAUGGUCUUAGCUUGCUAAGGCUGAUGGCGACCGGCGCACGGGUGAGUAACACGUAUCCAACCUGCCGUCUACUCUUGGCCAGCCUUCUGAAAGGAAGAUUAAUCCAGGAUGGGAUCAUGAGUUCACAUGUCCGCAUGAUUAAAGGUAUUUUCCGGUAGACGAUGGGGAUGCGUUCCAUUAGAUAGUAGGCGGGGUAACGGCCCACCUAGUCAACGAUGGAUAGGGGUUCUGAGAGGAAGGUCCCCCACAUUGGAACUGAGACACGGUCCAAACUCCUACGGGAGGCAGCAGUGAGGAAUAUUGGUCAAUGGGCGAUGGCCUGAACCAGCCAAGUAGCGUGAAGGAUGACUGCCCUAUGGGUUGUAAACUUCUUUUAUAAAGGAAUAAAGUCGGGUAUGCAUACCCGUUUGCAUGUACUUUAUGAAUAAGGAUCGGCUAACUCCGUGCCAGCAGCCGCGGUAAUACGGAGGAUCCGAGCGUUAUCCGGAUUUAUUGGGUUUAAAGGGAGCGUAGAUGGAUGUUUAAGUCAGUUGUGAAAGUUUGCGGCUCAACCGUAAAAUUGCAGUUGAUACUGGAUGUCUUGAGUGCAGUUGAGGCAGGCGGAAUUCGUGGUGUAGCGGUGAAAUGCUUAGAUAUCACGAAGAACUCCGAUUGCGAAGGCAGCCUGCUAAGCUGCAACUGACAUUGAGGCUCGAAAGUGUGGGUAUCAAACAGGAUUAGAUACCCUGGUAGUCCACACGGUAAACGAUGAAUACUCGCUGUUUGCGAUAUACGGCAAGCGGCCAAGCGAAAGCGUUAAGUAUUCCACCUGGGGAGUACGCCGGCAACGGUGAAACUCAAAGGAAUUGACGGGGGCCCGCACAAGCGGUGGAUUAUGUGGUUUAAUUCGAAGCAACGCGAAGAACCUUACCAGGGCUUGACAUCCUACUAACGAAGUAGAGAUACAUCAGGUGCCCUUCGGGGAAAGUAGAGACAGGUGGUGCAUGGUUGUCGUCAGCUCGUGUCGUGAGAUGUUGGGUUAAGUCCCGCAACGAGCGCAACCCCUAUCUUCAGUAGCCAGCAUUUAAGGUGGGCACUCUGGAGAGACUGCCCGGGAUAACCGGGAGGAAGGCGGGGAUGACGUCAAAUCAUCAUGCCCCUUAUGACCUGGGCUACACACGUGCUACAAUGGGUACAACAAAGAGAAGCGAGACCGCAAGGUGGAGCAAAACUCAGAAACAACGUCCCAGUUCGGACUGGAGUCUGCAACCCGACUCCACGAAGCUGGAUUCGCUAGUAAUCGCGCAUCAGCCACGGCGCGGUGAAUACGUUCCCGGGCCUUGUACACACCGCCCGUCAAGCCAUGGGAGCCGGGGGUACCUGAAGUGCGUAACCGCGAGGAUCGCCCUAGGGUAAAACUGGUGACUGGGGCU